rnacentral:rRNA from 1 species
CAAAGGAGCAAUCCGCUGAAAGAUGGGCUCGCGUCCGAUUAGGUAGUUGGUGAGGUAACGGCCCACCAAGCCGACGAUCGGUAGCCGGACUGAGAGGUUGGACGGCCACAUUGGGACUGAGACACGGCCCAGACUCCUACGGGAGGCAGCAAUAAGGGAUAUUGGUCAAUGGGGGAAACCCUGAACCAGCAACGCCGCGUGAGGGAAGACGGUUUUCGGAUUGUAAACCUCUGUCCUCUGUGAAGAUGAUGACGGUAGCAGAGGAGGAAGCUCCGGCUAACUACGUGCCAGCAGCCGCGGUAAUACGUAGGGAGCGAGCGUUGUCCGGAUUUACUGGGUGUAAAGGGUGCGUAGGCGGCUGUGCAAGUCAGUAGUGAAAUCCAUGGGCUUAACCCAUGAACUGCUAUUGAAACUGCACAGCUUGAGUGAAGUAGAGGUAGGCGGAAUUCCCGGUGUAGCGGUGAAAUGCGUAGAGAUCGGGAGGAACACCAGUGGCGAAGGCGGCCUACUGGGCUUUAACUGACGCUGAGGCACGAAAGCGUGGGUAGCAAACAGGAUUAGAUACCCUGGUAGUCCACGCUGUAAACGAUGAUUACUAGGUGUGGGGGGACUGAACCCUUCC